rnacentral:sRNA from 1 species
UUGCUCUUGAACGAGGAAUCCCUAGUAAGCGUGAGUCAUCAGCUCACGUUGAUUACGUCCCUGCCCUUUGUACACACCGCCCGUCGCUACUACCGAUUGAAUGGCUUAGUGAGACUCUCGGAUUAGGGCUAAGGAAUCGGAAACGGUUUCUUUUUCUCGAGAAGUUUGUCAAACUUGGUCAUUUAGAGGAAGUAAAAGUCGUAACAAGGUUUCCGCAGGUGAACCUGCGGAAGGAUCAUUAGAAUAUUCGGGAAUUUAAUUUCCUAAUACUUUAUUCAAAAAAUUUUCAAUCUACAAAUUUUUUUUUAAAAAAAUUACAAAUAAAAAUUUAAAGAUAACUUUCAACAACGGAUCUCUUGGCUCUUGCAUCGAUGAAGAACGCAGCGAAAUGCGAUAAGUAAUGUGAAUUGCAGAAUUCCGUGAAUCAUUAAAUCUUUGAACGCAAAUUGCACUUCUUGGUAUUCCGAGGAGUAUGCUUGCUUGAGGGUUGGUCUACAAAAAAUCGUGAAAUUUAAUUUUUCGCGGAUCUGGGUUUUCUAAAAAAGACUUUUUUUUGGUAACCUUAAAUUUAUCUUAACGAUUUUAGGUAUUAAAAUUAGAAAUGGUUUUAUCUUACAUAUUGUAAGUUGUUCGUUGAUAAUUAUACCAAUUGUUACAUCGCGUUAUUCGCCCGAUCAAUUUUUUUUGAUUAGUGAAAUAAUUCAAUAUAUUUUUAAUCCUACCUCAAGUCAAGUAAGAAAUACCCGCUGAACUUAAGCAUACCAAUAAGCGGAGGAAAAGAAACUAACUAGGAUUCCCUUAGUAACGGCGGGUGAACUGGGAAAAGCUCAAAUUUUAAAUCACCUCGGUGAAUUGUAAUUUGAAGAAAGUGUUUUGACUUUUCAGUUUAAUCUAAAUCCUUUGGGAUGAGGUAUCAUAGAGGGUGAGAAUCCCGUUCCUGAUUAAACCUCGAAUUGCACUAAUUCACUUUCCAAGAGUCGAGUUGUUUGGGAUUGCAGCUCCAAAUGGGUGGUAAAUUUCACCUAAGGCUAAAUAUAUGCAAGAGACCGAUAGCGAACAAGUACCGUGAGGGAAGGAUGAAAAGAACUUUGAAAAGAGAGUUAAACAGUACGUGAAAUUGUUGAAAGGGAAACGAUUGAAGUCAGUCAUGCUAGUGAGGAAUCAACUUGGUGGUUUACUUCCUCGUGCAUUUUCUCGCUUGGCAGGUUAGCAUCAGUUUUGGUUGUCAUCAAAGAAUUGGGGGAAUGUGACUUUUCUUCGGUAAAGUGUUAUAGACCCUGAUUGAUGUGGCGACUGGGAUUGAGGUUUGCAGCGGAAGCCUUUUUGGGCUAGUCACCUGUCUUCUGACCGUCACCUCGCUUUUGACAGCUUGCUGAUGAUUGCGGGAUUUGUCGAUCUAGAAGUUAGAGUGAACAUAAAUUCGCUAAGGAUGCUGACGUAAUGGCUUUAAACGACCCGUCUUGAAACACGGACCAAGGAGUCUAACAUAUGUGCGAGUGUU